UCCUUCUUUCUCUCUCUUUUUUCUUCUCUCCUUUUCUUCCAUCUCACUUAUUCUUCUUCUUAAUUCAUGGGUGAAAUCCCGGAGCUCAACUCCGGAACUGCCCUUGAAACUGCAAUGCUAGAAUCCUGGAGAGGCGAGUGGAAUUCCGAGUGUAGAGGUGAAAUUCGUAGAUAUUCGGAAGAACACCAGUGGCGAAGGCGACUCGCUGGACAAGUAUUGACGCUGAGGUGCGAAAGCGUGGGUAGCAAACAGG
rnacentral:rRNA from 1 species